rnacentral:rRNA from 1 species
CCUACGAGAGGCUGCAGUGGGGAAUAUUGCACAAUGGGGGAAACCCUGAUGCAGCGACGCCGCGUGAGCGAUUAAGUAUUUCGGUAUGUAAAGCUCUAUCAGCCGGGAAGAAAAUGACGGUACCUGACUACGAAGCCCCGGCUAACUACGUGCCCGCAGCCGCGGUAAUACGUAGGGGGCAAGCGUUAUCCGGAUUUACUGGGUGUAAAGGGAGCGUAGACGGCUGUGCAAGCCAGGUGUGAAAGCCCGGGGCUCAACCCCGGGACUGCAUUUGGAACUGGGAGGCUGGAGUGUCGGAGAGGCAGGCGGAAUUCCUAGUGUAGCGGUGAAAUGCGGAGAUAUUAGGGGGAACACCAGUGGCGAAGGCGGCCUUCUGGACGAUGACUGACGUUGAGGCUCGAAAGCGUGGGGAGCAAACAGGAUGAGAUACCCCGGUAGUC